UACGUAGGGGGCAAGCGUUGUCCGGAUUUAUUGGGCGUAAAGAGCGUGUAGGCGGCUAGGUAGGUCCGUUGUGAAAACUCGAGGCUCAACCUCGAGACGCCGAUGGAAACCAUCUAGCUAGAGUCCGGAAGAGGAGAGUGGAAUUCCUGGUGUAGCGGUGAAAUGCGCAGAUAUCAGGAAGAACACCCGUGGCUAAGGCGGCUCUCUAGUACGGUACUGACGCUGAGACGCGAAAGCGUGGGGAGCGAAACAGG
rnacentral:rRNA from 1 species